UCACAUUUUCUUCAUUCCUUUUCCGGCUGUCGACUUGGUGAGUUCAAUUUUAUUCUAGUUUGGAAGUCGGACGUAAAUUAAGAAAAAAAUCAAUUAAUUGGAAAAAGUGAAUUUUGGAACAUAAUUAAGUGUUAAUACUGGAAAGAAAUAAUUUGUGAAAAGUAUAAUGGAAGCAAUAAUUAAAACUGAGGUUAAUGGUAGUGGCCCAUUGCCACAAAGACCACAGAAAAAUCAAGGUGGUGGCAACAAGAAUUUCAAUAAGCCUCAAAUGGAUGGUGGUCCAGCUGAAAAAAAGCCACGUUUCAACCAAGGCGGUGGCAACAAUAAUAAUAAUAAUCAGAACAACAGAGGAGGAUUUGGAAACAAAGGUUUUGGUAAUAACAGAAAUAAUAAUAACAAUCGUAAUCGUGGUGGCGGAAAUAAUAGAGGAAAUUUCCAGAAUCAGCAGCAAAACCAACAACAGCCACAAGCCCAAAAUCAACAACCCUCUGCUCAACAGCCUGCGUCAGAUGUUAAACCUGAAAAUGCAGCGAAAACGGAACCCAAAGCUAAUGAAGAGACCAAAAAUGCACCACCAAAUAAUCAACAACCACAACAACAGCAGCAGCAGCCACAACAAAAUCAGCAAAAUCAAAAUCAUAACAAUAAUAUGAAUAAGCAAGGUGGUGGAAACAAUAAUAUGGGAGGAGGUGGUGGCGGUAAUCGCGACCGUGGUCAAAAACGCGACCGUCACUUUGACGGCCCACGUGGAGGUGGUCGUGAUGGUCCCAGAGGCGCAAUGGGUGGUGGAGAUGGUGGCAACCGUGGCGGUCCUGGACGAAAUGAUGAGUUCUUUAUCGGCCAACGUUUGCGUGCCAUUGCCGGGCCAACUCAUGAACUACCACCAAUUGAGAAUACAGAAGAAACUAAAUUCUCUGGCCGUAACCGUCUCUAUGUUGGUAAUUUGACCAACGAUGUCUCCGAGGAAGAUUUGCGUGAGCUUUUCAAACCUUUCGGAGAAAUUGGUGAAGUUUUUAGCAAUCCUGAAAAGAACUUUGCUUUCCUAAAAAUGGAUUUCCACGCCAAUGCUGAGCGUGCAAAGCGCGAGUUAGACGGUACUUUACGUAAGGGACGUAUGUUACGUGUACGUUAUGCCCCAAAUUCUACAGUUUUACGCGUUAGCAAUCUAACACCAUUUGUAUCUAAUGAAUUGUUGUACAAGUCAUUCGAAAUAUUUGGACCCGUCGAGAGAGCUUGUGUCAACGUUGAUGAUCGUGGUAAAUCUACCGGAGAGGGUAUUGUUGAGUUUGCCAAAAAAUCAUCGGCUAACGUUUGCUUGCGUUUCUGUAGUGAAAAGUGUUUUUUCCUCACUGCUUCUCUGAGGCCAUGUGUUGUUGAGCCUUUUGAUGCCAACGAAGACACAGAUGGUUUGCCCGACAAGUCUCUAAACAAAAAAUUGCCAGAAUUCAACCACGAACGCAAUGUUGGUCCUCGUUUUGCUGAUGUUGGUAGCUUUGAACAUGAAUAUGGUACCAGGUGGAAGCAAUUGCACGAAUUAUUCAAGACCAAACAGGAGGCUUUGAAACGUGAAUUAAAAAUGGAAGAAGAAAAAUUGGAAGCACAAAUGGAAUAUGCUCGUUAUGAGCACGAGACAGAACUUUUAAGACAAGAAUUACGCAAACGCGAAUCUGACAAUGAACGCAAGAAAAUGGAAUGGGAAAUGCGUGAAAAACAAGCUGAAGAAUUGCGCAAACGUGACGAAGAACAAAUGCGUCGCCAACAAAGUGAAAUGCAAUCUCGCAUGUUGCGUCAAGAAGAGGAAAUGCGUCGCCGCCAACAAGAAAACACAUUGUUCAUGCAAGCCCAACAAUUGAAUUCUAUUUUAGAUCAGCAAGAAGGUGGCUUUAGUGGAAAUUGUAGCAAUUUCGAUAACUUUGGCGGUGGCAAUAACUCGCCAUUCGAUUUCCGUGGCAACAAUGGUGGUAAUGGUGGAAAUAAUGGUCCCAAUGGACCUAAUAACCAACAGAGAUUUGUUGGAAACAUUUAACUUUUGCUGAUUCCUAUCACACAACAUGAUUAAUUCUGGUCAAUGACAACAUGGGAUUGAAUAUAUAAAAGGUUUUUAAAGGCCCUUGAACAUGUAACAAAUUGCUGCCGUUUAGUAAAAGUUCCAAAUGGUCAUGAAAGAAGGGAUAUAUCAAAUGUCUCUAUUUGAAAGAAAAGUUUUAACGGGUCAGAGAUUAUAAAACAUGGGAAAAACAUGCAAUAGAUCCUGAAAGAUUUUAUAAUUUUGGAUAUCAUCUAAAACGUAUGGAUGGACUGGACUGACUGGAAAUAAUGCAGCUGUUUUUUGCUGUAUUAAAAUCAGAAACUAUCUUACAAAUAAUGCAGCUGUAUUUUACUUUCUCGAAAUCAGAUGCAGACAAUUGUUUUUUGUGGAACUAUAUAGUUUAAUUUUGGAUUUUAACAAUUAAGCUAAAGCAAUUAAAGCUAUCUCCAACUGAUUUUUGUGGAACUAUGUGAUCUUACUUUAAAUUCCAUCAACACAAACUUGAAAUGUUAAGCAAAACACUAAUUGUGCUUCCAAAAUGUACCAGAAUAAACGUGGUUGAAAAAAUUUUCUGGUUAUGUCUCUGAUGUUUUCCAAAAAAUGUGGAUCUUUAAUAAAUAAUAUUUUCUUUUAUUGUCCUGAGGAGUUGCAAGAAAAUUAUUGUGGGAUCUAAAAAAUAAUAAUGAUCUUACAGCCAAAUAAUUGGAUGGAAAAGAAUAUAAAAUUAAAGAGUUUACAUAAAUUAAAUAUUUCCUAUGAUAAUUCCAAACUAUGAUUUUUUGAAAAUACAUAAAUACAUCUGUGGUCGAAUUAGUGCGUACGUGAUGGCUUUCGCAUCGAAAUCACAUUUCAAUAUCGAAAUUUAUCUAAUAACGGCCAAACAUUGUCAACCCAGCGACAGCUGUAGGUUAGGUUAGGUUUUCUCAGGUAGCCAAUUUUCGGCUUUACUUGGGUCCAUGUUGAUCCCUUUGUAAAAAUACCUGUAAGAAAAAGAAAAGAGAAGGAGAAAUAGGGAAGAGUGGAAGAACAGAGACAGUUGCAAAGAGAAGGAGAUGAUGAGAAAUGAGAAAGCCAGGGCAGCUGCCGUGGAUGAGUAGUGUGAGUAAUAGGAUUCACACCCAUUUUGACAAAUUAAUGAACUCUAGUAGACGUUAUAAUUGAAUGUUUGACAAUUCGGUUAGAUCACCAAAAUAGGUCGAUCCAAGCGUCCGAAAACGGGCCUCCGCCAAAGCAGGACAAUCGCAGAGAAGAUGAGUAAUAGUCUCUUCUUCAUCCUCGUUUUGACAACUCCUACAGUAAUCGUUGAACGGGAGACCAAUGCGUCUGGCAUGGUUCCCAAAUUUACAGUGGCCAGUGAUUAUCGAUAUCAGCCUACUUAACUGCGGUCUUUGGAGACCAAGAAGAUAUUUAGACCUUUGAGGAUCGAUCUAUGAUUGAUUUGUAAUCCGUGAGAAAUUAAAUCGUUAAUUUUUGAUUAAAUUUAUUUUACUCGCAAUACUUCUUAACACAUUAUUUUGAAACAAAAAUCUUUCAAAUUAUUACACAAUAUGUUUGUAACUGUACUUCAAACACAUCAUCAAUUUACAUUUUCAUAAACAAGUUGUUAGUGUUUAUCAGUGAAACAAAAAUCUUUGAUUUAUGUAAACUCUUUUGUUUUAUUAAAUUUCGUAUUUUGGUGAAUGAAAUAGCAAUUAACAUAAACCUUUUAAGAUUUGUCUUUAAUUAAUUUUGGAAUUAUGGAAUUCA